rnacentral:rRNA from 1 species
AUUGAACGCUGGCGGAAUGCUUUACACAUGCAAGUCAAACGGCAGCACGGACUUCGGUCUGGUGGCGAGUGGCGAACGGGUGAGUAAUGUAUCGGAACGUGCCCAGUCGUGGGGGAUAACGUAGUGAAAAUUACGCUAAUACCGCAUACGAUCUAUGAAUGAAAGCGGGGGAUCGCAAGACCUCGCGCGAUUGGAGCGGCCGAUAUCAGAUUAGGUAGUUGGUGGGGUAAAGGCCCACCAAGCCAACGAUCUGUAGCUGGUCUGAGAGGACGACCAGCCACACUGGAACUGAGACACGGUCCAGACUCCUACGGGAGGCAGCAGUGGGGAAUUUCGGACAAUGGGCGAAAGCCUGAUCCAGCCAUUCCGCGUGCAGGAUGAAGGCCCUCGGGUUGUAAACUGCUUUUGUACAGAACGAAAAGGUUUCUACUAAUACUAGGAGCUCAUGGCGGUACUGUAAGAAUAAGCACCGGCUAACUACGUGCCAGCCGCCGCUGUAA